rnacentral:rRNA from 1 species
GAUUGAACGCUGGCGGAAUGCUUUACACAUCCAAUUCGAACGGCAGCACGAGAGCUUGCUCUUGGUGGCGAGUGGCGAACGGGUGAGUAAUAUAUCGGAACGUAUCCAAUAAUGGGGGAUAACCAAUCGAAAGGUUGGCUAAUACCGCAUACGCCCUACGGGGGAAAGCAGGGGAUCUUCGGACCUUGCGUUAAUGGAGCGGCUGAUAUCUGAUUAGCUAGUAGGUGAGGUAAAGGCUCACCUAGGCUUCGAUCAGUAGCUGGUCUGAGAGGACGACCAGCCACACUGGAACUGAGACACGGUCCAGACUCCUACGGGAGGCAGCAGUGGGGAAUUUUGGACAAUGGGGGCAACCCUGAUCCAGCCAUUCCGCGUGAGUGAAGAAGGCCUUCGGGUUGUAAAGCUCUUUCGCAAGGGAAGAAACGUUACGAGCGAAUAACUCGUGAUAAUGACGGUACCUUGAUAAGAAGCACCGGCUAACUACGUGCCAGCAGCCGCGGUAAUACGUAGGGUGCGAGCGUUAAUCGGAAUUACUGGGCGUAAAGCGUGCGCAGGCGGCUUUGUAAGUCAGAUGUGAAAUCCCCGAGCUCAACUUGGGAACUGCGUUUGAAACUACAAGGCUAGAGUAUGGUAGAGGGGGGUAGAAUUCCACGUGUAGCAGUGAAAUGCGUAGAGAUGUGGAGGAAUACCAAUGGCGAAGGCAGCCCCCUGGACUAAUACUGACGCUCAUGCACGAAAGCGUGUGGAGCAGACAGGAUUAUAUACCCUGGUAGUCCACGCCCUAUACGAUGUCUACUAGUUGUUGGGAGAGUAAAAUCUCUUUAGUACGCAGCUAACGCGUGAAGUAGACCGCCUGGGGAGUACGGGUCGCAGAUUAAACUCNAAGGAUUUGACGGGGCCCGCACAAGCGGUG